UACAGAGGUCCCAAGCGUUGUUCGGAUUUACUGGGCGUAAAGGGCGCGUAGGCGGCGUGUUAAGUCACUUGUGAAAUCUCUGAGCUUAACUCAGAACGGUCAAGUGAUACUGAUGUGCUAGAGUGCAGAAGGGGCAACCGGAAUUCUUGGUGUAGCGGUGAAAUGCGUAGAUAUCAAGAGGAACACCUGAGGUGAAGACGGGUUGCUGGGCUGACACUGACGCUGAGUGCGCGAAAGCUAGGGUAGCAAACGGG
rnacentral:rRNA from 1 species